rnacentral:rRNA from 1 species
UAACGCGAAGAACCUUACCAAGGCUUGACAUACACGAGAACGGGCCAGAAGUGGUCAACUCUUUGGACACUCGUGAACAGGUGGUGCAUGGUUGUCGUCAGCUCGUGUCGUGAGAUGUUGGGUUAAGUCCCGCAACGAGCGCAACCCUCGUUCUAUGUUGCCAGCGCGUAAUGGCGGGAACUCAUAGGAGACUGCCGGGGUCAACUCGGAGGAAGGUGGGGAUGACGUCAAAUCAUCAUGCCCCUUAUGUCUUGGGCUUCACGCAUGCUACAAUGGCCGGUACAAAGGGCUGCAAUACCGUAAGGUGGAGCGAAUCCCAAAAAGCCGGUCUCAGUUCGGAUUGAGGUCUGCAACUCGACCUCAUGAAGUCGGAGUCGCUAGUAAUCGCAGAUCAGCA